AUUGAACGCUGGCGGCAGGCCUAACACAUGAAAGUCGAACGAGUGGCGGACGGGUGAGUAAUGUCUGGGAAACUGCCUGAUGGAGGGGGAUAACUACUGGAAACGGUAGCUAAUACCGCAUACCAUCGGAUGUGCCCAGAUGGGAUUAGCUAGUAGGUGGGGUAAAGGCUCACCUAGGCGACGAUCCCUAGCUGGUCUGAGAGGAUGACCGGCUACACUGAAACUGCGAAACGGUCCAGACUCCGACGGGAGGCAGCAGUGGGGAAUAUUGCACAAUGGGCGCAAGCCUGAUGCAGCCAUGCCGGGUGUAUGAAGAAGGCCUUCGGGUUGUAAAGUACUUUAAGCGGGGAGGCGGUACCCGUAGAAGAAGCACAGGCUAAAUCCGUGCCAACAGCCGCGGUAAUUC
rnacentral:rRNA from 1 species